rnacentral:rRNA from 1 species
UACAGAGGUCCCGAGCGUUUGUUCGGAUUCAUUGGGCGUAAAGGGUGCGUAGGUGGCAUGGUAAGUCGGAUGUGAAAUCCCGGGGCUCGAACCCCGGAACCUGCAUUCGAUACUGCUGCGCUAGAGUACUGGAGAGGAGAUUGGAAUUUACGGUGUAGCAGUGAAAUGCGUAGAUAUCGUAAGGAAGACCAGUGGCGAAGGCGGAUCUCUGGACAGUUACUGACACUGAGGCACGAAGGCCAGGGGAGCAAACGGG